rnacentral:rRNA from 1 species
GACGAAGUCGUAACAAGGUAGCUGUACCGGAAGGUGCGGCUGGAUCACCUCCUUUUUAGGGAG